UCCGCAGGCGGUUUUUUAAGUCGGUUAUUAAAUCUUGGAGCCCAACUUCAAGGCCGUGACCGAAACUGAAAAGCUAGAGACUUUCAGGGGUGUGCAGAAUUCUGUGUGUAGGGGUAAAAUCCGUAGAUACACAGAGGAAUACCAAAAGCGAAGGCAGCACACUGGGAAAGUUCUGACGCUCAUGGACGAAAGCGUAGGUAGCGAACG
rnacentral:rRNA from 1 species